AACAAAAAAACAAAAACCCUCCCUGCCGUUAAAAGUUCCUAAUCCCAAUACAAGCUGCAAUACCGGUGUCAACAAAUGAAAAAGAAAAUUAAAGCAAGGAAAUUUCAAGUGAAAAUAGAAGAUUACACAGGCAGAAUACAAAACAUUUCACAAAUGAAGUUCACCUGAAUUACAGAUGAGCCUCCAUAAAAGGUACCGGCUUCUCUUCAAGCACAGAGCUCUGCAGAACCUCCUGGACUAUUGAUCCCUCCACCUUGGACUUGAGAGAGGGAAAAAACCUGUUGGUGAUAAUGGAAACACAAGGCCUGGUGAGGGUGGAGGUUGAGGCCCUGGACCUAAAAUCCCCGACUGUGGAAAUGCAAAAUUUGGUGUCAACGGUGGAGGAAACUGAACCCCAGGAGAAAACAACGGAUAAGGAGACCGCGGAGACAACAAAUUCAUGAAACCAGUAGGCGAUGGUAAA
rnacentral:misc_RNA from 1 species